UUUUUUUUUUUUUUUUUACUUGAAACAAAGUCUCAGCACAGCAGCCCGAUGAGCGGCGAUGCCAGGCAGGCGACGGUCUGAGAAGAGGAGGACUCAGGCGCUAGUGCAGAUUUGUUGGAAAGAGGAAUUUGAUGACUACAGCCUAUGAAGAUGAUUAGAAGACUGGAGAAACUGUCAUAUGAGGACUAAAGAAGUGUCAUACGAGGCUGAAAGAACUGGGCCUGUUUAGGUUGGAAAAGAAAAGACAGAGGAAAGGUUCCAUUUAAGAGGUUAUUGCCCUAGCUCUCUGCUAAACACAGGAAGACGCAUCCAGACAUCCAACUCCACCUGCCCUGAGUGACCACUUCGGCAGAUGAAGACUAAAUAGUCAACAGUUCUUAUGGACAUUUUCCCGAGAGAGACAUAUAGAAUGUAAAGAUGUACCUACCUAUCAAUUUGUUAAAGAACAAGGAACAAUGAUGAUGAGAAUAUGCCAGAGUAUAGGGGACCUGAGAGUGACACAAAUGUUAUGGAA